rnacentral:rRNA from 1 species
AAAGUUGCGCUAAUACCGCAUACGAUCUACGGAUGAAAUGGGGGAUCGCAAGACCUCAUGCUCAUGGAGCGGCCGAUAUCUGAUUAGCUAGUUGGUGGGGUAAAGGCCUACCAAGGCAUCGAUCAGUAACCUGGUCUGAGAGGACGACCCAGCCACACUGGAACUGAGACACGGUUCCAGACUCCCUACGGGAGGCAGCAGUGGGGAAUUUGGACAAUGGGGCAACCCUGAUCCAGCCAAUGCCGCGUGAGUGAAGAAGGCCUUCGGGUUGUAAAGCUCUUUUUGUCAGGGAAGAAACGGUGAGGGCUAAUAUCCUUUGCUAAUGACGGUACCUGAAGAAUAAGCACCGGCUAACUACGUG